rnacentral:rRNA from 1 species
AUGCACGCUGGCGGCGUGCCUAAUCCAUGCAGGUCGAGCGAACAGAUGAGGAGCUUGCUCCUCUGACGUUAGCGGCGGACGGGUGAGUAACACGUGGAUAACCUACCUAUAAGACUGGGAUAACUUCGGGAAACCGGAGCUAAUACCGGAUAAUAUAUUGAACCGCAUGGUUCAAUAGUGAAAGACGGUUUUGCUGUCACUUAUAGAUGGAUCCGCGCCGCAUUAGCUAGUUGGUAAGGUAACGGCUUACCAAGGCAACGAUGCGUAGCCGACCUGAGAGGGUGAUCGGCCACACUGGAACUGAGACACGGUCCAGACUCCUACGGGAGGCAGCAGUAGGGAAUCUUCCGCAAUGGGCGAAAGCUUGACGGAGCAACGCCGCGUGAGUGAUGAAGGUCUUCGGAUCGUAAAACUCUGUUAUUAGGGAAGAACAAAUGUGUAAGUAACUAUGCACGUCUUGACGGUACCUAAUCAGAAAGCCACGGCUAACUACGUGC